AUCCAGUUGCUGACGAGUCCCAAAUAGGACGAAAUGCGCGUUAUCCUGGAU
rnacentral:hammerhead_ribozyme from 1 species